rnacentral:rRNA from 1 species
UACGGGGGGGGCAAGCGUUGUUCGGAAUUACUGGGCGUAAAGCGUGCGUAGGCGGCCUUUCAAGUUGGGUGUGAAAGCCCGGGGCUCAACCCCGGAAAUGCGCCCAAGACUGUUUGGCUAGAGUCUCGGAGAGGUGAGUGGAACUCCCAGUGUAGAGGUGAAAUUCGUAGAUAUUGGGAAGAACACCAGUGGCGAAGGCGGCUCACUGGACGAGUACUGACGCUGAGGCACGAAAGCGUGGGGAGCAAACAGG